rnacentral:tRNA from 1 species
GCGCCCGUAGCUCAGUUGGAUAGAGCGACAGACUACGGAUCUGUAGGUCGCAGGUUCGAGCCCUGCCGGGCGCACCA